AUUGAACGCUGGCGGCAGGCCUAACACAUGCAAGUCGAGCGGAUGAGUGGAGCUUGCUCCAUGAUUCAGCGGCGGACGGGUGAGUAAUGCCUAGGAAUCUGCCUGGUAGUGGGGGACAACGUUUCGAAAGGAACGCUAAUACCGCAUACGUCCUACGGGAGAAAGUGGGGGAUCUUCGGACCUCACGCUAUCAGAUGAGCCUAGGUCGGAUUAGCUAGUUGGUGAGGUAAAGGCUCACCAAGGCGACGAUCCGUAACUGGUCUGAGAGGAUGGUCAGGCACGCUGGAACUGAGACACGUUACAGAAUCCUACGGGAGGCAGCAGUGGGGAAUAUUGGGCAAUGGGCGAAAGCCUGAUCCGGCCAUGCCGCGUGUGUGAAGAAGGUCUUCGGAUUGUAAAGCACUUUAAGUUGGGAGGAAGGGCAGUAAGUUAAUACCUUGCUGUUUUGACGUUACCAACAGAAUAAGCACCGGCUAACUUCGUGCCAGCAGCCGCCGCAGUAA
rnacentral:rRNA from 1 species